rnacentral:tRNA from 1 species
CCCUGGUGGCUCAGACGUUAAAGCGUCUGCCUGCAAUGCAGGAGACCCGGGUUCGAUUCCUGGAUCAGGAA